rnacentral:rRNA from 1 species
GAUGAACGCUGGCGGCGUGCCUAAUACAUGCAAGUCGAGCGAACAGAUGAGGAGCUUGCUCCUCUGACGUUAGCGGCGGACGGGUGAGUAACACGUGGAUAACCUACCUAUAAGACUGGGAUAACUUCGGGAAACCGGAGCUAAUACCGGAUAAUAUAUUGAACCGCAUGGUUCAAUAGUGAAAGACGGUUUUGCUGUCACUUAUAGAUGGAUCCGCGCCGCAUUAGCUAGUUGGUAAGGUAACGGCUUACCAAGGCAACGAUGCGUAGCCGACCUGAGGGGGUGAUCGGCCACACUGGAACUGGGACACGGUCCAGACUCCUACGGGAGGCAGCAGUAGGGAAUCUUCCGCAAUGGGCGAAAGCCUGACGGAGCAACGCCGCGUGAGUGAUGAAGGUCUUCGGAUCGGAAAACUCUGUUAUUAGGGAAGAACAAAUUUGGAAGUAACUAUGCACGUCUUGACGGUACCUAAUCAGAAAGCCACGGCUAACUACGUG